rnacentral:rRNA from 1 species
AAAUUUGGAUUAAUACCUCAUAUAUGUGAGGAUGGCAUCAUUUUCACAUUAAAGUCACAACGGCAAAGAUGAGCAUGCGUCCCAUUAGCUAGUUGGUAAGGUAACGGCUUACCAAGGCUACGAUGGGUAGGGGUCCUGAGAGGGAGAUCCCCCACACUGGUACUGAGACACGGACCAGACUCCUACGGGAGGCAGCAGUGAGGAAUAUUGGACAAUGGGCGCAAGCCUGAUCCAGCCAUGCCGCGUGCAGGAUGACGGUCCUAUGGAUUGUAAACUGCUUUUGUACAGGAAGAAACCCUUUCACGUGUGGAAGAUUGACGGUACUGUAAGAAUAAGGAUCGGCUAACUCCGUG